CUACUCCCCUGGCAGGGGAGGGACCAGGAUCGCGAGGGUGGCUUUCCCAGAGCCAGGCUUACCCAUUGCACUCUGGAUGUGCUGAUCCUUGCCGUUUCCCCAAACGUGGGAAACUCAACUGCAUAAUUUGUGGUAGUGGGCGACUGCGUUCGUGCUCUCCCCUG